GGGGAUAGCUCAACUGGUAGAGCACGUGCUUACCAUGCAUGAGGUUCUGGGUUCAAUCCCCAGUAUCUCCU
rnacentral:tRNA from 1 species